rnacentral:lncRNA from 1 species
UAGCCAAAUGAUGGCACCUAACUGAAUUCCUCUCAUUUGGUUGUUAGAUGUGUGCUUUAGAAGCCAAUCUUGGCCAACACAUACCUUUAUCUAGGGGAUACUUUAUACUUGAUGGACAGUCUUUAUAACCAAUCAUGUCAUAUGUGUCCAUAAUUUAUCCUAAAAAUUAACAAAGAUGAUUUUGUAUAUUCUCAACAUAUUGAAAAUUUGAGACAUACAUCAUUAGUGGUUAAUUUCUAAAUACUCCC